rnacentral:lncRNA from 1 species
UGUUCUUGCUCCCUGGGAAAUGAUGAAUUACACUGUCCAUCAACAGUUCCAAGAACAAGUGCAAAUGCCAGUGGGCCUAUGAAUUCUUCCUUUGAGAAUACUGACCAUGGUCACUCUGACUCCCAGAGAUGCAUCCUAGCCCAAGAAGAAGAGCAGCACCUGCAGAGUAGAGACCACAGCUGACUGAUAUGUCCUUCUGAAUUUACUUGGUAUCGUUGGCUUCUCUGUUCCUCUCUCUAGUUGCUCGUGGUAAUGAUUCACUCAUGAGACAGGACGACUGUAUGUUGAAUUAUACUUUUAGUGUGCUGUGAUUAGCUUUGGCUGGAGAUUUAUUUCCUUACAAACUUUUGGAUUGAGGAAACAUUUAAUCAUCCUACCUUUCAAA